rnacentral:rRNA from 3 species
GAUUUCUGGUAUGGCGCACUUGGCCCGCCAAGGUUACUUGGUUGUGUGCCGGUGUGCGCCUGCCAUCCUUCUGGGGAACGGCUCUACCCUUCACUGGGUGGGAGUCGGUAUCCAGAUCUUUUACUUUGAAAAAAUUAGAGUGUUUAAAGCAGGCUUACGCUAUGAAUACAUUAGCAUGGAAUAAUAAUUUAGGACUUUGGUCUUAUUUUGUUGGUUUCUAGGACUAAAGUAAUGAUUGAUAGGGAUAGUUGGGGGUGCUAGUAUUCAGCGGCCAGAGGUGAAAUUCUUGGAUUCGCUGAAGACUAACUUAUGCGAAAGCAUU